UGUCUGGGACUUGGUGGGGUGGGUGGGGUGGGUCCCCGUGGGACCUGUGUGCAGGAGACAUCAGCUGCCAUCUACAGGCGAAUCACUGGGACGGGGAAGAUGGAGAGAAUGGGUGGAGGUGGCUCCUGAAGCCUUGGGGAAGGAGAAAAGGAGGCUAAAUCUUGCAAGACAGUGAAGAAUAAAUAAAGACGCACAGCAGAAAAAGGAAGGAGUGGAAUCCUCCUGGAAGACAUCCUCCUGGAAGACAAAAUAGAGAAGAUGGCUUCACUCCUAAAUUACAGCGAGAAGUAUCAAGUGCCCAGCCAAUGAGGCUGUCAAGGACCCUUCCGUGAGCAGUCUUCUCCCUCCUCGAUGUACAUGGCUGCUCAGGGCAGAAACCAGGCUGUGUGCAGCUGCUGGAAAGAGAUGGGUGUUAACCUUCCAACAGCCACCAAGUGGACAGCCCUAUCUCUACAGCUCAUCUCUGGGCUCUGUGCUGGCCCCUCAUCUCCCAUGGCCUGAGCCUCCUGGAGGGACACUGUCACAGUCAUACCAAGGAGGCUGAGUUGAGUGAGGUAAAUACUGCGGGGAAAUAGAACCAGGGAGCAGUAACCAAGACUGGAAGACGUCAGGAGGGAACGAGGCCAGAGACGAGAAGGACCGUGCAUGAGGGCAGCUAGAAGAGAGAAAGUGUGAGCAGGACUGAGUUCACCCACCGAGGAAGGGACACUGAGCGUCCGAGCCCACGUGUAAGGGCUGUGUCGGGGCCUUUUGGACACAUACCAUUUAACCCUCGUUGCAGCAAGUUCCCGACUUCUUGUACAGGAGACUGAAACUUUCGUAAGGAAUCUAAGUCACUAGCUUGAGUUUCCAUGGCUACAGGGGCAGAGCAGGGAUUUGCCUGCAGAUCUGUGGGGUUGCAGGGGGCUUCCCCGUCACUCCAUCUUCACCGUGAGAGGAGGCAGCACUGGGUCACAGGAGACAAAAGGAUCUCCAGAACUCUAGAAACUUAGGACUGAUUUCAGGGUCUUUUUUGAUUUGUUUUGUUUUCGUUUUCGUUUGUUUGUCUCUUGUUUUUCACUGAAGUCCAGUCAGUUACAAUGUGUCCAUUUCUGCUGUACACCAUAAUAAUUCAGUCAUACAUGUACAUACAUAUAUUCGUUAUCAUAGCCUUUUCCAUUACAGGUUACUACAAGAUACUGAAUAUAGUUCCCUGUGCUAUACAUGAUAUCAGGGUCUUCUACACCAACUCUGCCUCCUGGAGAAAUUAGAUUUCAGUGAAAAAAAAAUCGUGUCUUAAUUGUAGCCAAUUAAUUUUGAAGGCAGGUCACAGAACCUACCAACUUUCCUUCUUUCCUUCCCUUCCUCCCUCUUCUAUUUAUGGAGCAAUAACAAACUGUCAGCAAUGGUGUUAAGUUUGAGGGACAAAUAAGAAUCAGCCCUUGCCCUUGGGGAACUCACAAGCCCUUGAGAAAUUCCAGGCAACUGAAGCAGCUCUUUAUACAGCCCCUUCCUCUCAGGAUAAAUUUCCCCCUUGUCUUUGCUUCUGAGUUCCUAGUAGGGGCCCAGCAAAGCUCCUGUUUCUCCCUCCAGCCCAGCUCCCUCUGUUUUGAGAGACAGACAGUCAAACUCCCACCAAGCCCCUCCUCUCCCAGGGCCGCUCCGGGGGUCACAGCCGGAGUGGUCAGUGAUGCCACAAACAAGCAGAUCUGAGCCUUUGGGCGCCUUUCAUACAUCUGGAUAUAGCUUGGCCUGGGGCAGCCCAAAUUCUCCAGCCAUAAGUCACACUGACGUCCCAGCCUGGAACAAAUGAACAUUUCCUUGGCUUCCAGCCUCUUCCCCUCACAGUCGCUGACCCAAUCACCUCCUCUGCGAUUAAGCACACUCCCCACACCCUGCUCCCCUCUGAUGUGAAAUCACAGCACAGCACCCCGCGAGCCAUCUACCACGUGGUCCAUACUCACAGUGGUUGCCUUCAGAUAAACUCAGUCUGGCAACCAAAAAAUGUUUCAAAAUAACUCAAGUUAUUUGGACGCAUUCUCAAAUGCUAUGAAGGCAAUCAGAACAAUAUUUCUCAAAAUCCUGCUUUUCCUCUCCCGUUUAUUUCUCUGACAUACCACAUCCGAUCCUGGACCUCUCCUUUCCAAAACUCCUGUCUCCCAAACCCCCCUUCCAGCUCUAGCCACACACCCCUUCUCCUUCUUCACUCCACUUUCCUCCUGAUCCUGCCGACCCUCCCUGGGAAGAGGGCAGGGGAGGAAGACGACCAGGUAAAGUCCUCUCUCAGGCAGGGUCCAGAGGGCAAAGGCUGAAAACACUCAUGAGGUUGUCACUUUCCCCCAUCACAGUAGCUGUCACUGAUAGAGGAAAAUGAAUGUGAGGCGAGAGGAUGGCCGUGUCCCAGGUCUCGGCUGAGUCCCUAGGACACACCCCGCCGAGUGCAGGUCCUUGGCUUGCUGCAGGAAGAAUUCAAGAGCUAAUCACAGUUGACUAAGGUAGAUUUAUUCAGAGAGAUACGUACUCCAUAGGCAGAGUGCAGGCGGUUUCAGAAGGCAAGAGAAAGGCCACGAGGUGUGGGGGUUGGGUGUUCAGUUGAUACACACUCCACAGACAGAGUGCUGUCAGUCUCACUUAGGAAGGAGGGGGCCACAAGGUGGGGGGGUAGUUUCUAUGGGCUCGGUAACUUCAUAUGCUAAUAAGCAGUAGGAUUAUUUCAACUACUCUGGGAAGAGCUGGGAUUCCCAGAAACUGGGCCACCGCCCACUUUUAUGGUCAGCCUCGGAACUGUCAUGGUGCCCGUGGGAGCCAUCUAGCAUGCUCAUAUAUUACAAUGAGCGUAUAAUGAAGCUCAAGGUCUACUGGAAGUCAAAUCUUCUGUCAUCCUGGGCCUCAAGUCCUGUUGGAAGUUGAAUUUUCCACCACCCUGGUGUUAACUGCUCUGUUAUUUCUUGACUGGCUGCACCCUGCCCCAUUCCUUCCGGUCUCAUCACUACAGAUGGGCAUUACAGAUCACACCGAGCCCCAGCUGGCAGGACAGCUUCUGCACCAAGUGCCCAUACCAGCCUGACUGCUCUGGUCAGCCCUAGUCUAAAUAUUUUAUUCCAAUUCCAAGAUACAGUGCACUACCAUUAGUUAAUCGCCCCAAUUUUGAACUGGGAAAAUAUGGUCACCAUAUCUCUAACACACCCUUCCUCUUGGCAACCCUAAUAUAUCCUGACUGUAUGAAACACUUUCUGUAUUGCUAUAGACUGAAAGUUUUUGUUCUCCCCUCCACCCCACCACCACCAAAAUCAUAUGCUGAAAUCCUAACUGCCAGUGUGAUGGUAUUUGGAGCAGGGGAGCGUCUGGGAGGUAACUGGGUCUAGUGAAUAGAUUAGUGUUCCUAUAAAAGAGACCCCAGAGGGCUCCCUUGCUCCUCCUGCCGUGCGAGUUCACAGUGAGAGGACAGCUGUCUAUGAGUCAGGAAGUGAGCUUUUACCA